rnacentral:rRNA from 1 species
AUGGGUUGUGAUGAGCUGAGGUUUGUUGAUGUAGUCUGUGAGGAUAGUAACAUUAUUGAUCCACUAGGCUCUGGUGACAAGGAGGGUUUCACUAUCGCCUACUACGCUUUGAGGAUAACACAGAGUGGUGGCAUGGAGUGGGAUAUGCUUUUCUUCAUCACAUGCUAUGAAUUGUGGAGUAUCAACCCUGAACUCCCGCAUGAACUUCUGAAGCAUCCUGUUGUAAGUAUGGAGGACCCAAAUGUGGUAUAUUUUCUGAUGUCAGAGCGUCUGGAACAUGUUAACAAGGUUUCCGUAGUUACUCUUGAUAUGAGUACCAAAAGGCUGCUUCCAAUUCAUCCAUAUAUUAAUGGAAAGGAAGACCUCUUGGGCAAAGACGCUGACAUGGUUCGGCGAAACGCCACUUUUCUCCAAACCUUUCUUCCCUCAGAACUUCCUAAGUUCUUAAAAUCCCAUCAGAUUUCAUAG